CCGCAACCAGCGAAGUGCAAAGUACUGUGGCUCAACACCAAGCUCAAUAAGGUGGCUGUAUAAAGAUGAAUCAACAACAGACAGCAAAUGGUACAAUGCAGCAGAAGCUUCAAUAACAGGAGGUAACCCAGAAUGUGACCCUCCUGCAGGGGAUGGAGAGAAAAAUUGUGCCAUGGCAACUGCACCAUAAGCCCCAUUCAUCAAAGAAUCAAACAUACAAUAAGCAUCAUGUUCCAUAAAUUUCUCAGACAAAACAAUUCCCAAUUCACCUUCAGCUCCAUAAGCAUCACUUAGCAAUACAAUGGUUUGUAUCUCAGGAUCAAGCUCAUCAAGACUCCCAACUUUGGCGGCAUUACCAUGAGAACCAAUCUCAUCUUCCAUGGAAUCUAAAUACUUUUUGAAAUCAAAGUUGUACAUAAGAUCAUUCUCUUGAAAUGAUAAGCCAUCAAAUUUGUCAGUGAAAUGGUCUUCAUACUCC
rnacentral:misc_RNA from 1 species